rnacentral:rRNA from 1 species
UACGUAGGGUGCGAGCGUUAUUCGGAAUUACUGGGCGUAAAGGGUGCGUAGGUGGUUUUUUAAGUCCGUUGUGAAAUCCCUGGGCUCAACCUGGGAAUGGCAGUGGAUACUGGAAAGCUAGAGUGCGGUAGAGGGUAGUGGAAUUCCCGGUGUAGCAGUGAAAUGCGUAGAGAUCGGGAGGAACACCAGUGGCGAAGGCGGCUGCCUGGACCAGCACUGACACUGAAGCACGAAAGCGUGGGGAGCAAACAGG